GUGCUCACUUGGGCAGCACAUAUACUAAAAUUGGAACAAUACACAGAAGAUUAGCAUGGCCCCUGCACAAGGAUGACACGCAAAUUCAUGAAGCAUUCCAUAUUUUU
rnacentral:snRNA from 1 species